GAUGAACGCUGGCGGCGUGCCUAAUACAUGCAAGUCGAGCGAACAGACGCGGCGCUUGCUCCUCUCACGUUUGCGGCGGCCGGGUGAGUAACACGUGGAUAACCUACCUAUCAGACUGGGAUAACUUCGGGAAACCGGAGCUAAUAGCGGAUAAUAUAUUGAACCGCAUGGUUCAAUAGUGAAAGACGGUUUUGCUGUCCCUUCUCGCUGGAUCCCCGCCGCAUUCGCUAGUUGGUAAGUUAACGGCUUACCAAGGCGACGAUGCGUAGCCGACCUGGUAGGGGGAUAGCCCACACGGGAACUGAGACACCGACCAGACUACUGAGGGAGGCAGCAGUAGGGAAUGUGCCGCAACGGGGGAAAGCCUUACAGAGCAACGCCGCGUGAGUGAGGAAGGUGCUCGGAUCGUAAAACUCUGUUACUAGUUAAGAACAAAUGUCUAAGUAACUAUGCACGUCUUGACGGUACCUAGUCAGAAAGCCACGGCUAACUACGUG
rnacentral:rRNA from 1 species